rnacentral:snoRNA from 1 species
GUGCAAUGAUGCAUUUUAUUCACAAACACAUCAUUCUGAGAGUACAUGUGGUAACUCAUGACAAAAGAACUUAUGAAAGCCGGGCUCA